AUAUAUAUAUAUAUGUAUAUAUAUAUAUUUAUAUAUAUAUAUAAGGGGUGUAACGAUACGCGUAUUCGUAUUGAACCGUUCGGUACGAGGCUAUCGGUUCGGUACGCGGUACGCAUUAUGUACCGAACGGUUCGUUGGACUAAUUAAUUACAUUUGGAAAAUAAAAAAAGUGUGUGAAAUAUAAUGUUAUGCGUUCAACAAGGUAGCCCAAUAACCCAAACAACAUAACAGGCAACGCCCCUGACACCCCCGAAGAAAAAAAAAAAACACCAACUUAUAUGUUUAUGUUAGGCUACUCAGUCAGGCGCUCGCUCACUCAGUACGCGCUGAAGGCGCAAAUAGAAGAUCCUCCAAUAACCUACAGGUCUGGUGUUUGGGUGCACUUUGAAUUCCCUGUAAGCUGUAAUGGUGAUGGCGAGAGAGUGGUGGAUAAAAAAACAAUGCUAUGUCGCAUCUGCUACAUGACAAUAGGGUAAACCAGGGGGAAUAC